UUUUCAGCUCAUUUAGUCUAUUUUUUUUUGGUAACUUUCAGCAAACUUUUCCUGGUUUGUUUGUUUUUUCUUUUCAGGAAAAUACCGAGUUCGUUUAGGCUUGGCUUUAUCAUGUUUGUAGAACCAUGUCAGAGAAUCUUUGCAGUGCAAAUGAUUAGAAUUGGUCUCUAGUCAUGAGAGAUUAAAAACACUUGAAUCACAAGUGAUGGAUGCACGGUGCAAACACUGUUUUGAACCCAGAGCCUUCUGGGUUCAGCAGGAGUCCUUUUGCCUCAGUGCGGAAAUUUCUUAACUAACUUUGGCCAGAGGCACAGCAUCAUUUCACUACUGAAUCAACACUUUUUGUUGUCAAGAAAGGCUACCUGAAACCUGAAGGGUUUUUUCUUUGUGACUUCCAUAUAACCAAGAAGAAGAAGUUUCAUCUUAAUUUUUGAAUAUUUCAAGAUUUUGUGCUAAAGAUAUGGAUUACACCUUCUGUCAACAUGUGAAGUGACAUAAGAGACAGAAAAGCUAACAGCUAUGUCAUGGUCACUGAAGUUAAAGAUUUUUUGCUCUUGUGAUUUGAUAAAGGGGAAGAACUCUGAGACAGAAAAAAAUAGGUGGCUGUGAGAAAAAUACUUCAGUUGUAAAUGGAGAAAAUGUGAUAUGAAAUUCAUCAAGAGGUGGCGUUAAAGGGUUUCUGCAGGUCAGAUAUGGAUGGCUCUGCGGACUUUACAUACUUCACCCCAGGGCCCACAAGGUUCAGUGAAACUCAAAUCAGAACUCUGGAUGUUGUAGGCAUUCCUUGGAGAAAUUGUGCACUAGUUACGAAUCUGUGGUGCAUUGGCAGCUGUGUAAGCAAGGAAAAAAUCAGCCCUGCAAGCUUUGAAUCAAGACCAUUUUGAGAGGAAAACUUUGAUGACAUGGAAGAUACAAAAAAGGGUCAGAGGUGGAGAUAAAAGGGAACUUAUCUUCUUUCCCAAUUUAUUCAACUUUUCAUAAAUUACAGAAGAUAACCAACUAAGCAAGCUGCAGCAGAUGAGUUUAUUGCUGUAUCUGAAUGCUAAAGAGGAUGGUGACUUUGAAAAAAUGCUGUUUAUGGAGUGUAUUGACAGAGAUUUCAGAGGCAGAAUAUCUGGGUUUGUUGCUUCCCAAACCUUGCAAGUGCAAAUUCCUAUGCUCCCUGUGUUAAGAAGGCUUGACAGGUUCAGGUUUUUGUGGGUUUCUGUGCAAAGAAAUAUGAAGAACAUUAAAUAAAUCAAUUUAAUAUGAUCAGACUAUUUCUGCAGGACAGUCUCAACCCUCCAAGCAGCUCUGAUGGGCACAACCCUGGGAAGAACACUUAGGAUUUCAGGAAAGGACUAGAGCAGGAUCUCAGGAAGAGAGAAGCUAUAGGGCUGCAGAGAAGUUUUGGUCCAGUUUCUCUACCCAGAGGUGUCCAGGGUUUCCAGAAACAGAGUCACUCUCCUCUGUCCCCAGAAGGUCCCAUGUUCACUGCAACAGGAUUCAUACAACGUCUGUCAGAAAUGCACAGCAUGGAAAAAGAUCUUACAUUGAAAGCAGAACUCUAAAGGAAAGAAGAGUGAUACAGCUAUAUAUAUAUAUACAUCAGGCUAGAAAAAAAGCUUCACUUGGAGUGUGUCUGCUUGGGGUAAUCAGAGGAGAAAAACAGCAUGAACCUGGAAUGUUUGCACAAUGUAGUUCAAGC